ensembl:misc_RNA
CUUACAGUCCUGCAAACUGAGGUCCUCUGUUUAUGCACAGAACAGGUACAGCAUGCAUAGUGGUAGUGCAAGGUCUCUCACACUGGCUUGCCAAUGUGCAUCACCCCUGUCCUGGAGGGUGAGGUAUGUAAUAGCAAUACUCAGCCUUAGGAGUUCUUUAUAUUUUCAAAGCAUAG